CUCUCACUUUCUCUCUCUCUCUCUUCUUCCAUGCUAGUUCCUGUUGAUUAGCUCCACUCUAUAUGCACCUCCCUACUCCUUUUUCGUAGCAGUAACUUGAAACUCUCUUAACUCACUCACUCUCUUCUAUCAACUUCUUCUUCUUCAUUUACACAAUUCAUCAAACACCUUCGACACACUUUCUCCUCUCCAAUCUCUGUGCUUCCCUGCCUCAGCAACCGUGCCAGUGUGCAACCCUUUAUGGCUAAAUGCCCCAAAACGAAACUCACUGCCACCACAAUGGUGAAACAACCCUCACCACAAGCUCAACCCCAACACAACACCAUCACUGUCCCGUUCUGACCCUUAACCUCAGGGACCCUCAAGACCCCAUUUUGGGCACAAAUUCAGACACCCUUUGCGCCACAACAAUGGCUUCCACCAACUCCACCUCCACCGACCCUCUUCCUUCUUCUUCCUCCGAUGACCUCGCCGUUAAAGCCGUUAACAAACGUUACGAGGGUCUCAUCACCGUUCGCACCAAAGCGAUCAAGGGUAAAGGAGCGUGGUACUGGGCACACUUGGAACCCAUUUUGAUCCGAAACCCCGACACGGGUUUGCCCAAAUCGGUGAAACUCAAGUGUUCUCUCUGUGACUCUGUGUUCUCUGCUUCUAACCCUUCUAGAACCGCUUCUGAGCACUUAAAGAGAGGAACUUGUUCUAAUUUCAGUUCCGGUUUGAGACCCGGUUCGGUCCCUUCACCUCUUCCAAUUUCCUCUAUCACACCCGGUUCGAACCGGAAGAGGGGUUCGCCCCAAAUGGGUGUUGCAUCACCCACAAGUUAUCAAAACCAUGCCUUGGCAAUGGUGGAGUCUUCAAGGUUUGGUUCUUGUGGUGGGGGUGAAAUGGGGUAUGGUCAGGUGCAUAAUAACACGGUGAACCAGCAUCAUCAUCAUAAUCAUCAGUUGGUGUUGUCUGGUGGGAAGGAGGAUUUGUGUGCUUUGGCUAUGUUUGAGGACAGUGUGAAGAAGCUUAAGAGUCCAAAGACUUCACCUGGUCCUGCUUUAAGUAAGGAUCAGGUUAAUUCUGCUUUGGAUUUGCUUGCUGAUUGGUUCUAUGAAACUUGUGGGUCUGUGUCUUUGUCUACUCUUGAGCAUAGAAAGUUUCAGGCUUUUCUUAGCCAGGUUGGUUUGCCUGCAACUUUGAGGCGUGAGAUUUAUGGUCCUAGGCUUGAUGCUAGGUUUGGUGAGGCCAAAGCUGAGUCCGAAGCUAAGAUAAGGGAUGCCAUGUUUUUUCAGGUGGCAAGUGAUGGUUGGAAGAGUAGGAAUUGGUAUGAGUUGUGUUGUGGUGGUGAGAGUUUGGUUAAGUUUAUGGUGAAUCUUCCUAAUGGGACUAGUGUGUUUCAGAAGGCAGUGUUCACUGGAGGAGUGUUGUCUUCCAAGUAUGCGGAAGAGGUUUUGUGGGAGACGGUGACAGGUGUUAGCGGGAAUAUGGUUCAGAGGUGUGUAGGGAUUGUUGCGGACAAGUUUAAGGCCAAGGCAUUAAGGAACCUCGAGAUUCAGAACCAUUGGAUGGUAAAUACUUCUUGUCAGCUUCAGGGGUUCAAUAGUUUAAUCAAGGAUUUUAACAACGAGCUACCACUUUUCAGGGUUGUGACUGAGAAUUGCCUAAAGGUUGCCAAUUUUAUAGACAGUGAGUCCCAGGUGAGGAAUAUUUUUCUCAAGUACCGAAUGCAGGAGUUGGACUGUGGUGGGUUGAUUCGAGUUCCUUCACCAAAAUGUGAUCCGUUGAAGAACUUUGCGUCUGUGUUUCCAAUGCUGGAAGACAUUUUGAGCUGUUCUAGAGUAAUCCAAAUGAUUAUGUUGGAGGACACGUUUAAGGUAAUGUGCAUGGAGGAUCCAGUGGCCAGAGAAGUCGCUGGAAUGGUUCAGAAUGAGGGGUUUUGGAAUGAUCUAGAAGCCGUUUAUUCGCUUGUGAAGCUUAUCAGAGGAAUGGUUCAGGACAUUGAGGCCGAGAGGCCAUUGAUUGGUCGAUGCUUGCCUCUUUGGGAAGAGCUGAGAACCAAAGUGAAAGAGUGGUGUGAUAAGUACAGUGUUGUGGAAGGGCCUGUGGAGAAAAUAGUUGAAAAGCGGUUUAGAAAAAAUUAUCACCCUGCAUGGUCGGCAGCAUUUAUACUCGAUCCACUUUACUUGAUUAAAGACACAAGUGGAAAGUAUCUUCCUCCGUUCAAGUGUUUGACACGUGAACAAGAGAAAGAUGUAGAUAAGUUACUGACGAGGCUAGCUUCCCGAGAAGAAGCUCAUGUUGUGUUGAUGGAGCUAAUGAAAUGGAGGUCUGAGGGACUUGAUCCACUUUAUGCACAGGCCGUUCAGAUGAAACAAAGGGAUCCGGUGACUGGGAAGAUGAAAGUCGCAAAUCCACUGAGCAGUAGACUUGUUUGGGAAACAUGCUUGAGCGAGUUUAAAUCCCUGGGGAAGAUUGCAGUGAGGCUCAUUUUUCUGCAUGCAACCUCAUGUGGAUUUAAGAGUAAUUGGUCUUUCAUGAGGAAAAUUUCUGCAAAUAAACACUCAAGAAUUGCCUCGGAAAGAGCUCAGAAAAUGAUAUAUAUUGCAGCUCAUGCCAAGCUUGAAAGGAGAGACUUUUCUAGUGAGGAAGAAAAGGACGCAGAGUUGUUUGCAAUGUCUGGUAGUGAGGAUGGCAUGCUGGCUGAGGUCUAUGCUGAUGCACCCUUAGUUGUUGGAAUGGCUUGAAGAAGCAGUAGGGUGGGUGGCAAACCCAACAUAACAUGGUUUUGACGUGUGUCAACCUCGGAAGAAGAUAAGAAUCUUUGUAUCCUGAGAAGCAUUUCUAUUAGAUAUAGUCUGGCAUAUCUCUUGGUGUGUUUGUUCCUACAAAAUGGUUAGGACCCACAUUGGAGAGUGGAUAUCCAUAUCAAUGGUUGUCAUGGUCAAAGGAGAGUGAGGUUUAUCUCAAUGUUGAAAGUUAGAAUUUUGCAGAAUUAACCGUUUGGAUUGCCAUGAUUGCUAAAAAGGCUUUGGAAAAAAAGUUGAAGGAAGGAGUGUAGCCUCAAAAAGCAAUUUGCUACGUCAAUAUUUCAGAUUAUUGGAGUCAUGAACAGCAGGUUGGUGGUUCAAGAGUUCUGGUGGUGAUGGAAUUCCAUAUCAUUUUUUCACUCUUCUUGUCUGUCAUAUGCACAUGAUGACAGUGGAUCAUGUCGGCAAUGGCAAGCAAUUCUGACUGCUGACCAACUAAAAGGAAAAUACUUUUUUUCCCCUUUUUCUUUUUUUAAUUUUUUAAAAAUAUUUUUCCCUUUUGCUUGUUGUAUGGUAUAAUUUCAUUUUUCAUUACAGUCUGGUUGUUCUUGUAUAGGAGAAGAGGAUGUUAUGAUUGGCAUAGGACAAGACCAUCUUUUUACAAGAAUCUUGACACUUUCAAUGUUCCCCCAUGAUUAAUCUUUCUUUUUAUUGUCUCUCCUUUUUCUUUCCACUAAACACAACCCCUCCUCUUGUUUUACAAUUGAAGAUACCAUUUUCUAACCAGAUAAUUUUAGUGUCAUGGACAUGUAUUUUGACUCUUAACCCUUCAUUGCCCUCAUGAUUUU